rnacentral:lncRNA from 1 species
GAAAGAUCAAAUUCACUGAGAUCCUAGCUUGAAACCCAUCCAAUCGACCUUGAGGUGUCAGAAUCAAAUCUGCUGAAGAUCAAUGAAAACAACAAAACCAAUAGAUGUCGAGAUAUCUAAAUAUCUCAUAAUCAUGUACCAAAUCGAAGAUCCAAAAUCCCAAAAACUAUAACAAACGUCGCAGAUAAGGAUUCAGAACACAGUACCUGCUCUUAUUCGUUUCCAACAGAAAACUUCAGAACGGUGAAAGAGUCUGAAUCUAAAUCAAGAGAUUUGGUUGAGUUCGAAGAACGAAAGCGAGAAAGAAAAGAGUUGAGGAAGCGAUCUCUCUUCUCCUUUCGAAAAGGGCAGGAACGAAGAAGAGGGAGAGGACGCAUAGAAAAGAAGAAAAAACGAUUUGGUGGAGUUUCGAGAGAGAUCGAGAGAGAGUAAGAAAAAGAAUCAGAAAAUGGCGAGACGCAGGCCCAAAAGCCCAAGGAUAGAAAAAAAGCCCAAGCCCAACUUUCACUGUUCACGGGAACAGUACCGCGCCAGGCGCUAUAAUAAUAUAAUAGUAAACAAGCCCAACUGACACUGUUCACUGGAACAAUAAGGCGGUGCGAGGCCGCAUAAUAUCUAGUUAAAUUUCUUAGAAGACAGACAAAUCAAAAGGACACACCCUAUUAUAAUGUGAGUCCAUCCGCUAAGAUAGUUAGAAAGAGAUCCACUAGAUUGAUUAAAACGACCUCAUACUUGAACUUUCAAUUAUAUAUCACUUCUUCAUCGAACAUUUAAGCGAGGCGAGUCAUCAGUUUACGAGACAGAUUAAUCUUUUAAAAUAAUGAAAAUAACUUCAAAGUUGAGGGCCUAGACCUAGCCAGAGUUCAAACCACCCUAGCCAAAUUAGGUAUAUACACUCUCAAAGAGGAUAUCUUUGUUUGGGGGACUUCACCUUCUUGUAGGUAGUGUUUGCUUGCUUCAAUUUCUCAACCUGCACAUUCUAAUUCUAAACUUUUUUGUCUUCUUGCUCUGUUUAAUACGGCUCGGUUCUACGUUUAGUUUGUGUAAUAGAUGUGUGUGUGUGUUUUUUUUUAAUAAAGACCGUAAUUCAUGAAUAGUACGUCGACGAAUUUACUUACUAAGCUUACAACAAGAUAGUGCUAGAGGGCCUUAAUAAGGCCUAAAAUUUGUGGCCUUGAUCCUAUGUGUCAUGUCAUGUAAGUAAAUAAAAAUAUUUAUUUUCAAUUCCACAUAAUAUAUCUUGCCAAAUCAAAACAUUGCAUUACUAAUUUUACCAUUUCUAUUUCCUUUUACAUUUUAAGGGGUGAAUCAAUGAUAGUUUUGUCAAAUAAACUCUAACCCUAACCCUAAUUCGUCCAAAAAGCAAUUAUAAUUCAUCAAACCCUAACCCUAAACCCUAAUUCAGUAAUGGAAACAAACAUUACAUAUCAAUAGCAACCUCUAAUUAUGUAUAAUAUAAGGAAUGUUUCUUACAUCAAUAUGAAAAUUAACUAUUUUUUGAAUAAUAAUUAGUUUUGUCAAAUAAACUCUAACCCUAACCCUAAUUCGUCCAAAAAACAAUUAUAAUUCAUCAAAAAGAAAACACUAAUAUAAGAUAAUUUGAAUAUAAUUCAUCAAAAUUUUCUAUAAUUCGUCCAAAA